UACGUAGGUGUCGAGCGUUGUCCGGAUUUAUUGGGCGUAAAGAGCCCGCAGGCGGCUUGGCAAGUUUGAGGUGAAAUCUCCCGGCUUAACUGGGAGGGGGCCUCGAAAACUGCCAGGCUUGAGGCAUGGAGAGGGAUGCGGAAUUCCCGGUGUAGUGGUGAAAUGCGUAGAUAUCGGGAGGAACACCAGUGGCGAAGGCGGAUCUCUGGGCCAUUACUGACGCUGAGGAGCGAAAGCGUGGGGAGCGAACAGG
rnacentral:rRNA from 1 species